GUGGGGAAUAUUGGACAAUGGGCGAAAGCCUGAUCCAGCCAUGCCGCGUGUGUGAAGAAGGUCUUCGGAUUGUAAAGCACUUUAAGUUGGGAGGAAGGGCAGUAAGUUAAUACCUUGCUGUUUUGACGUUACCAAUAGAAUAAGCACCGGCUAACUUCGUGCCAGCAGCCGCGGUAAUACGAAGGGUGCAAGCGUUAAUCGGAAUUACUGGGCGUAAAGCGCGCGCAGGCGGUGCUGUAAGACAGGCGUGAAAUCCCCGGGCUCAACCUGGGAAUUGCGCUGGUGACUGCAGUGCUGGAGUACGGUAGAGGGUAGUGGAAUUUCCUGUGUAGCGGUGAAAUGCGUAGAUAUAGGAAGGAACACCAGUGGCGAAGGCGACUACCUGGACUGAUACUGACACUGAGGUGCGAAAGCGUGGGGAGCAAACAGGAUUAGAAACCCUUGUAGUCC
rnacentral:rRNA from 1 species